UACGUAGGGUCCGAGCGUUGUCCGGAAUUAUUGGGCGUAAAGAGCUCGUAGGCGGUUUGUCGCGUCUGCUGUGAAAUCCCGAGGCUCAACCUCGGGUCUGCAGUGGGUACGGGCAGACUGGAGUGCGGUAGGGGAGAAUGGAAUUCCUGGUGUAGCGGUGAAAUGCGCAGAUAUCAGGAGGAACACCGGUGGCGAAGGCGGCUCACUGGACCGGUACUGACGCUGAGGCGCGAAAGCGUGGGGAGCGAACAGG
rnacentral:rRNA from 1 species